CAAUCUUGAUUUUCAUGAAGAUUUCUCAAAGGGUUCCUUACAUAGUUCUUUGGCAUUCUGUCCACCUCCUUUACCUUCAUAAUCUUCUAUUUUUUUAGAAAAAUAAUUUUUGUUAUUAUUUUUUUUAAAAAAUGGAGGUGGGCAUACUGUCAACAGAUUUGUGUUAGUUUCUCUUUGUGAAAUCUUCUUGAUGUUAAUUG